rnacentral:lncRNA from 1 species
CAACGCCUUGGUCUUGGACUUCCAGCCUCCAGAACUUGGACUCUACCUUCCUUCCCCUGAUUCUCAUGAGAAUCUGAUCUUCGCUAAAGUGGGCAAGGUCCUGGAUCAGAAGAUGCCUGACAAGAGGCCACUAUCAGCAGCAACAGCACAGUGGGGACAAACCUGAGACCUUGAUGGACCGUGGACACCAGCAGGAGAGACAGAGGAACUUGAAGUCUAAAUGGGCAGACAAGACCAACAUACACAAAGCAGAGAGUGGCACAAGAGCCAUGUCUGAUGCAACAGUGACUCAGGAGGAUCACUCUGACUCAGAAUGGCCAAGCAAAGAAUUGAAAUUGAGUAACGUUUAACAGAAGGUGUCUGAUUACAACAAUGCCCUGGCUGUGAAGAGAACAAAUUCAGAACUUUCUCCUAAGGAGAGAAGGAGCAAACUGUUACUCUCUUGUCAAAUCCAGUUUUCUUUUAAUCUCUGAUAAUGUUUCACAUUGAACCAAUGCCUUUAAUAUGACUUAGUGCUUUAGGAAAAUAGUAUCACCUCAGGAUAUUUAGGUAACUAAACCAGCAGAUCCAAUAAGUGUUAUCUUUCAGAGUCAGCCUUCUGAAGGAGGCUAGAUGCACAUGUGAAUGACUUUGCCAUAGCACAGAAUGCGUCUGGAUCAUACUUCUGGAAAUUCCUCUGGAACCACUGUGUAAAUGAAGCUAUCAGGAAAUCUCAUUGCUUUGUAAUCAUGCUUUACUUUUGACUAAAAAGUAAAAACACCGAGAGUUCAGAGUUCAUUUUUCAGACUUGUUUCCAAAUGAAUUGACCUUUUGUAAAAAUCCAUGUUCAAAGUAAGUCACCAUUGAGGGUUAGCCUUUCUUUCCAACCUUACCAUAACCAUCUCUAUCAGCAACUAUUCCUGGAAACCUACAGGAAGUAGGCUCUGUGCUGCAAAGAGAUAGAGCAAUCCAUUAAAUAUGGUUCCUACUCUUAAAGAGAUUACAGCCCAGGUGGAAGCAAAACACAGGUGUAAUAUGAAAAGCACUAGAUGAAGUAUAAGGUAUGUGAGGCUUGAGAGGAGUCUGAGCUGAAACAGCCUUAGGAGAAGUCCUAAUGAGGAAUGGGACUUGUGCUCAGCACAAACGGACUGGGAAAGCUGAACGUGUAUGGAUAUCCUUCACAGGCUGACUAAUCACACAAAGUGCAAUGACUAGUUUGACUAAAAGUAAUGAGAGUGGGACAUGAACUCCACUACUGACUUAAACCUUGCUUUAAACAAGUUAUUUAACCUCUUGAGUUCUCUAAUUUCUUAUGGUACCUGCACUACUCGUUCAAAAUGGCAGACUGAACACAUGCGUUGACUUCCUUCCUUCCCCCAACCCACCUAAAUGACAAAAAGCAGCGGCAUGCAGUUAUUUGACACCCAGAUGCAUCAUCUUUUAAUACUCCCUUUUUAUGACAAAAUUGCUUUCAGUACUAAUCGUUAUUUCAUUAAUUUGUUUCACAGUUUGAAACAAAGGUUUACUUUGUAUACAAAAAUUUUCAUUUAAAAAUACUUAGUGAAAUAAAUCAUGUAUGAACUAAAAUUAGUACUUACCACAAAAAUAUUACAGCUAUUUGGUCUGUUGAUCAUUGUUUUCAAUUUAAACACAAAUAAAA